rnacentral:rRNA from 1 species
UAGGGAAUCUUCGGCAAUGGACGAAAGUCUGACCGAGCAACGCCGCGUGAACGAAGAAGGCCUUCGGGUUGUAAAGUUCUGUUAUAAGGGAAGAACAGCUUUAGUAGGAAAUGGCUAAAGUGUGACGGUACCUUAUGAGAAAGCCACGGCUAACUACGUGCCAGCAGCCGCGGUAAUACGUAGGUGGCGAGCGUUAUCCGGAAUUAUUGGGCGUAAAGAGCGCGCAGGUGGUUGAUUAAGUCUGAUGUGAAAGCCCACGGCUUAACCGUGGAGGGUCAUUGGAAACUGGUCAACUUGAGUGCAGAAGAGGGAAGUGGAAUUCCAUGUGUAGCGGUGAAAUGCGUAGAGAUAUGGAGGAACACCAGUGGCGAAGGCGGCUUCCUGGUCUGUAACUGACACUGAGGCGCGAAAGCGUGGGGAGCAAACA